rnacentral:lncRNA from 1 species
GUCACCGAGGGGGUGGGUGGGAAGGAAAAGGUCCUCAGCAGGGCCAAAGUCCCCAACCCCGAGCCGAGCAGGGCACUGGCACAGUUCAGAGUGUUCUGCUGCUGAGCAAGAAAAGCCUCUUCUCCCGAAUCCGGAUGAAUUUGAUAUUCAAUCAAUGAAGAUUAACUUGCCCAAGGGACAGAAAGCUAGCCAGUACGCACCACUUAAGAUGGGCUAUGUUCUGAGGAAUUCAUUCUUCAGCAACCUUUGUCACUGUGUGAACAUUACAGAGCAUACCCACACAAACCAAGAUGGCUACAAUACCACAGGUUAACUGCUACGGUUUGAGUCUAGAUGUACCCCAACAGCCUCGUGCAGUCAAGGUGGAGUUUUCAGAGGCGGCUAAAUCUAGACUGUGUGAUGCUGGAAUUAAGGCCAUGUGACUACUAAACCAGUCCACUGAUUGAUUUGGCACCGCCCUAAUAAAAUGGGCAGAAAGACACUGUUAAGAUUCCCUUGUUGCUUUUGCUACCAUGUAAGCAGCGUGAACUAUUUCUUCUCUGCAACAUCACGUGCCACUCUGCCUUGGAGCCAGCCAGUUAUGGACUGAAACCUCUACAAACUGUGAGCUGAAUAAACCCCUUCCCCU